rnacentral:rRNA from 1 species
CGCGGCCUAUCAGCUUGUUGGUGGGGUGACGGCCUACCAAGGCGACGACGGGUAGCCGGCCUGAGAGGGUGUCCGGCCACACUGGGACUGAGAUACGGCCCAGACUCCUACGGGAGGCAGCAGUGGGGAAUAUUGCACAAUGGGCGCAAGCCUGAUGCAGCGACGCCGCGUGGGGGAUGACGGCCUUCGGGUUGUAAACCUCUUUCACCAUCGACGAAGGUCCGGGGUUUCUCGGAUUGACGGUAGGUGGAGAAGAAGCACCGGCCAACUACGUGCCAGCAGCCGCGGUAAUACGUAGGGUGCGAGCGUUGUCCGGAAUUACUGGGCGUAAAGAGCUCGUAGGUGGUUUGUCGCGUUGUUCGCGAAAUCUCACGGCUUAACUGUGAGCGUGCGGGCGAUACGGGCAGACUGGAGUACUGCAGGGGAGACUGGAAUUCCUGGUGUAGCGGUGGAAUGCGCAGAUAUCAGGAGGAACACCGGUGGCGAAGGCGGGUCUCUGGGCAGUAACUGACGCUGAGGAGCGAAAGCGUGGGGAGCGAACAGGAUUAGAUACCCUGGUAGUCCACGCCGUAAACGGUGGGUACUAGGUGUGGGUUUCCUUCCUUGGGAUCCGUGCCGUAGCUAACGCAUUAAGUACCCCGCCUGGGGAGUACGG